UGUUAUUUAUAAUCUCUUUGCAUGCAAUCUAUUGUUUGGGGGGUGAUUUUGGGUUCAAGUUAUUGGGUUUGAAAAUGUUGUUGUUUUCUUUUUUCCUGGUCAAUUUUAGAAGACCAUUUAUAUGUAUGCUGUUCAAAUUUUCGGGUUUGAUUUGAUUUUUUUUCCUGUGAUAGAAUCUUUGAAAUAUUGUUUUCUUUUUCCUCAUUAUAUGUUACAUUAAUGAUAGUUGAUUAGAAGCGGGAUUUUAGUUUGUUAUAGAAUAUAAAUUUG
rnacentral:lncRNA from 1 species